rnacentral:rRNA from 1 species
GACGAACGCUGGCGGCAUGCCUAAUACAUGCAAGUCGAGCGGACUUGAAGAGAAGCUUGCUUCUCUGAUGGUUAGCGGCGGACGGGUGAGUAACACGUAGGCAACCUGCCCUCAAGCUUGGGACAACUACCGGAAACGGUAGCUAAUACCGAAUACUUGCUUUCUUCGCCUGAAGGGAGCUGGAAAGACGGAGCAAUCUGUCACUUGAGGAUGGGCCUGCGGCGCAUUAGCUAGUUGGUGAGGUAACGGCUCACCAAGGCGACGAUGCGUAGCCGACCUGAGAGGGUGAUCGGCCACACUGGGACUGAGACACGGCCCAGACUCCUACGGGAGGCAGCAGUAGGGAAUCUUCCGCAAUGGGCGAAAGCCUGACGGAGCAAUGCCGCGUGAGUGAUGAAGGUUUUCGGAUCGUAAAGCUCUGUUGCCAGGGAAGAAUGUCCUUGAGAGUAACUGCUCAAGGAGUGACGGUACCUGAGAAGAAAGCCCCGGCUAACUACGUGCCAGCAGCCGCAGUAAAAC